UACGUAGGGGGCGAGCGUUAUCCGGAAUUACUGGGCGUAAAGCGCACGCAGGCGGUUCGCCAAGUUUGGAGUGACAGUUGUCGGCUCAACCGACAAAGGACUUCAAAAACUGGUGAACUUGAGGACGAGAGAGGAACAUGGAACUCCAGGUGUAGUAGUGAAAGUGACGUAGAUAUCUGGAAGAACACCAAUGGCGAAGGCGGCCUGCUGGGCAGUGGCUGACGCUGAGGCGCGACAGCGUGGGGAGCAAACAGGAUUAGAGUACCCGUUG
rnacentral:rRNA from 1 species